GCAACUGUGGUCUAACGGAAAGACACCGUUUUGCUAAAGCGAAGAUGCGCGUUCAAAUCGUGCCGGUUGCCC
rnacentral:tRNA from 1 species